rnacentral:rRNA from 1 species
UUUAUGGAGAGUUUGAUCCUGGCUCAGGAUGAACGCUGGCGGCGUGCUUAACACAUGCAAGUCGAACGAUGAAGCCGGAGCUUGCUCUGGUGGAUUAGUGGCGAA